rnacentral:rRNA from 1 species
UUAAAAAGCUCGUAGUUGGAUUUCUGUGGGGACGGAGCGGCCGGCCGCUACUAGCGGUUCGAGCUAGCGCUUUCCCUACAUCCUGCCGCGAACCGCGCUACCAUUAGUUUGGUGGCGCCGGGGAUCGGCUCGUUUACUUUGAGAAAAAUAGAGUGUUCAAAGCAGGCCACACGCCUUGAAUAAGUAGCAUGGAAUAAUAACUA